rnacentral:sRNA from 1 species
CCCGUCCCACCUCCCAAAUCCACCCAUAUCUUUGGUUUUGUUGGCGCAUUAACGGGAAGCCUCACAACAGGCUGAGCUUUGAGAUGGGCAGCCAACAGCUGAAGCAUGGUCUCUCUGCCCUUGAGGAGGUGCGAGCGUGUCGUGUCAUACAAAUCGGCUUGCCCGGCGUAAAAGGCCUCGAGGUGGUCUUUCUGUUCUCCAUUGCCAUGAUGUAAAAAGGGCUUGAGGAAGCAAUUGUAUAUGAACCUGAGCGGAAUGUGCAAAGCUGGCCACAGGCCAAGGGUAAGGGCAAUAGAAGAGAAAAAGACGAGAGCAUAGCCCAAGGAAGAGCGGGAAAGAGGGAUGAAUGUGAUAGAAGAUCACCGCUCCGGCAGAAAGAAUGAGAAGCAUAUGCGGCAAGGCGAUAGGCCCAGGAUGAGCCGUGGUGAGAACGAUAGUCAUGACGCCAGUCUAGAAGAUGAGGAUGAUCUAUACGUCGGGAUAGUGCUUUAAUACAAGAAGAGACAGUUCAACGGUAGGAUCAGGGACAGACAUGCAUUUUGAC